GAUGAACGCUGGCGGCGUGCCUAAUACAUGCAAGUCGAGCGAACGGACGAGAAGCUUGCUUCUCUGAUGUUAGCGGCGGACGGGUGAGUAACACGUGGAUAACCUACCUAUAAGACUGGGAUAACUUCGGGAAACCGGCGCUAAUACCGGAUGAUAUUUUGAACCGCAUGGUUCAAAAGUGAAAGACGGUCUUGCUGUCACUUAUAGAUGGAUCCGCGCUGCAUUAGCUAGUUGGUAAGGUAACGGCUUACCAAGGCAACGAUGCAUAGCCGACCUGAGAGGGUGAUCGGCCACACUGGAACUGAGACACGGUCCAGACUCCUACGGGAGGCAGCAGUAGGGAAUCUUCCGCAAUGGGCGAAAGCCUGACGGAGCAACGCCGCGUGAGUGAUGAAGGUCUUCGGAUCGUAAAACUCUGUUAUUAGGGAAGAACAUAUGUGUAAGUAACUGUGCACAUCUUGACGGUACCUAAUCAGAAAGCCACGGCUAACUACGUG
rnacentral:rRNA from 1 species